GACGUAGGGCGCGAGCGUUGUCCGGAUUUAUUGGGCGUAAAGAGCUCGUAGGCGGCUUGUCGCGUCGACUGUGAAAACCCGCGGCUCAACUGCGGGCCUGCAGCCGAUACGGGCAGGCUAGAGUUCGGUAGGGGAGACUGGAAUUCCUGGUGUAGCGGUGAAAUGCGCAGAUAUCAGGAGGAACACCGGUGGCGAAGGCGGCCGACUGGGCCGACCCUGACGCUGAGGCGCGAAGGCGUGGGGAGCGAACGGG
rnacentral:rRNA from 1 species